UGGGUUUGACAUGGCGCUGGUAGUGAACCGAAAGGGGAACGACCCCGCAAGGGGAGGCGUCAU
rnacentral:rRNA from 1 species